rnacentral:rRNA from 1 species
CCUACGGGAGGCUGCAGUGGGGAAUAUUGCACAAUGGGGGAAACCCUGAUGCAGCAACGCCGCGUGAGUGAUGACGGCCUUCGGGUUGUAAAGCUCUGUCUUCAGGGACGAGAAUGACGGUAUCUGUGGAGGAAGCCACGGCGAACUACGUGUCAGCAGCCGCGGUAAUACGUAGGUGGCGAGCGUUUUCUGGAUUUACUGGGCGUAAAGGGAGCGUAGGCGGGCUUUUAAGUGAGAUGUGUAAUACUCGGGCUCAACUUGAGUGCUGCAUUUGAAACUGGUAGUCUAGAGUGUAGGAGAGGCGAAUGGAAUUCCUAGUGUAGCGGUGAAAUGCGUAGAGAUUAGGAAGAACACCAGUGGCGAAGGCGAUUCUCUGGACUGUAACUGACGCUGAGGCUCGAAAGCGUGGGGAGCAAACAGGAUUAGAUACCCCAGUAGUC